GUUUGAUCCUGGCUCAGAUUGAACGCUGGCGGCAUGCCUUACACAUGCAAGUCGAACGGUAACAGGUCUUCGGAUGCUGACGAGUGGCGAACGGGUGAGUAAUACAUCGGAACGUGCCCGAUCGUGGGGGAUAACGGAGCGAAAGCUUUGCUAAUACCGCAUACGAUCUACGGAUGAAAGCGGGGGAUCUUCGGACCUCGCGCUAUGAGAUGAGCCUGCGUUAGAUUAGCUAGUUGGUAGGGUAAAGGCCUACCAAGGCGACGAUCUAUAGCUGGUCUGAGAGGACGAUCAGCCACACUGGGACUGAGACACGGCCCCAGACUCCUACGGGAGGCAGCAGUGGGGGAAUAUUGGACAAUGGGCGCAAGCCUGAUCCAGCAAUACCGCGUGUGUGAAGAAGGCCUUAGGGUUGUAAAGCACUUUCAAUUGGGAGGAAAACCUGUCGGUCAAUACCCGGCAGCUUGACAUUACCUUUAGAAGAAGCACCGGCUAACUCCGUGCCAGCA
rnacentral:rRNA from 1 species